CCAAGUGCUCUCGGGAUUGCCGGCAAGAGCCUUCCUGUCCUUAGCAGACAGGAUUUCUGGGAUCCAAGGGCGUGACUGGAGAUGAGCUAUGAGCUGUGGGGUGGAUGUGCUAACAACCUUUGGCAGGAAGGAGAGGACUGGACCAGCACUUCAUCUCGGCCGGAGACAUUCCAAGAGCGGCUGUGAAGUGAGAGUUGGACAAAGCGGCGGAAACUGGGGUGAAACAUCUCACAAAGGCCAACUAUUGCCCGGCUUUCCCAAGCAGACAUUAUUCCCUGCCACAGCAUCAGAUACAUUGGAGCCCAACUUGGCUUUGAAGGAACCCAAGCAGAUCCAGUCGUGACCACUUGGGGAGCUGAAUGAAAUCCACCAGCUGAAAACUGCUUGCCGUUGUUUCUUCUCCUAAAGAACCUGGAUGAAAUGUUUUU